UAUCUACUCCCUCCGUCCGGAAAUACUCGUCGGAGGAAUGGAUGUAUCUAGAUGUAUUUUACUAGAUACAUCCAUUUUAAUCAACUUUUGCGACAAGUAAUUCUGGAUGGAGGGAGUAUAUU
rfam:Hordeum vulgare subsp. vulgare, WGS project CAJW01000000 data, contig: morex_contig_242411